UAGUACCGUGAGGGAAAGGUGAAAAGAACCCCGGGAGGGGAGUGAAAUAGAACCUGAAACCCUGCACUUACAAGCUGUGGAAGCACAUUUCUUGUGUGACCGCGUACUUUUUGUAGAACGGGCCAACGAGUUACGUUAAGUAGCAAGGUUAAGCACUUAAGGUGCGGAGCCGUAGCGAAAGCGAGUUUUAACUGAGCGUUCAGUUACUUGACGUAGACCCGAAACCGGGCGACCUACCCAUGAGCAGGAUGAAGCGAAAGUAAAAUUUCGUGGAGGUCCGAACCCACGAGCGUUGAAAAGCUCGGGGAUGACUUGUGGGUAGCGGUGAAAUUCCAAUCGAGCCCGGAGAUAGCUGGUUCUCCCCGAAAUAGCUUUAGGGCUAGCCUCAAGGUGAGAGAUACGGAGGUAGAGCACUGAAUGUCCUAGGGGGUAUUGCACCUACCGAAGACUAUCAAACUCCGAAUGCCGUCAUCUUAUACUUGGGAGUCAGACUGUGGGUGAUAAGAUUCAUAGUCGAAAGGGCAACAGCCCAGAUCGUCAGCUAAGGUCCCUAAAUGUAAGUUAAGUGGUAAAGGAUGUGGGAUUGCACAGACAACCAGGAUGUUGGCUUAGAAGCAGCCACUCAUUCAAAGAGUGCGUAAUAGCUCACUGGUCGAGUGAUCCUGCGCCGAAGAUUUCCGGGGCUAAAACUUACUACCGAAGCUACGGCAUCAGUAAUGAUGGGUAGGGGAGCUUCCCAUACGGGUUGAAGCAUGACCGUAAGGACAUGUGGACAGUAUGGGAGUGAGAAUGUUGGCAUGAGUAGCGAGAUGUGGGUGAGAAUCCCACAGGCCGUAAACCCAAGGUUUCCAGGGGAAGGUUCGUCCGCCCUGGGUUAGUCGGGACCUAAGCUGAGGCCGAAAGGCGUAGGUGAUGGACAACAGGUUGAUAUUCCUGUACUACCGAUAACCGUUUGAGAGAAGGGAUGACACAGUAGGAUAAGCUAAGCACACUGUUGGUUAUGUGUGCCCAAGCAUUGAGGCAGUCAAAGUAGGCAAAUCCGCUUUGAUAAUGCUGGGAUGUGAUGGGGAGCGAAAUUUAGUAGCGAAGUAGCUGAUUUCACACUGUCAAGAAAAGUCUCUAUCGAGGUUAAAGGUACCCGUACCGCAAACCGACACAGGUGGGUGAGGAGAGUAUCCUAAGGCCAGCGAGAGAACUGUUGUUAAGGAACUCGGCAAAAUGACCCCGUAACUUAGGGAUAAGGGGUGCCACCAUCAGGUGGCCGCAGAGAAUAGGCCCAAGCGACUGUUUACCAAAAACAUAGGUUUCUGCUAAGUCGCAAGACGAUGUAUAGGAGCUGACGCCUGCCCGGUGCUGGAAGGUUAAGGGGAUCUGUUAGAGCAAUCGAAGCAGUGAACUUAAGCCCCAGUAAACGGCGGCCGUAACUAUAACGGUCCUAAGGUAGCGAAAUUCCUUGUCGGGUAAGUUCCGACCCGCACGAAAGGCGUAACGAUUUGGGCACUGUCUCAACAACAGACUCGGUGAAAUUGUAAUUCCGGUGAAGAUGCCGGAUACCUGCGACAGGACGGAAAGACCCCAUGGAGCUUUACUGUAGCUUGACAUUGGGUCUUGGUACUACAUGUACAGGAUAGGUGGGAGGCUUUGAAACCAGGACGCCAGUUUUGGCGGAGCCAUCCUUGGGAUACCACCCUUGUAGUACUGGGACUCUAACCAUAGGCCAUGAAUCUGGUCUUGGGACACUGUCAGGUGGGCAGUUUGACUGGGGCGGUCGCCUCCCAAAAGGUAACGGAGGCGCUCAAAGGUUCUCUCAGUACGGUCGGAAAUCGUACGUAGAGUGUAAAGGCAAAAGAGAGCUUGAUUGCAAGACAUACAGGUCGAGCAAGGAUGAAAAUCGGACUUAGUGAUCCGGUGGUUCUGCGUGGAAGGGCCAUCGCUCAACGGAUAAAAGCUACCCUGGGGAUAACAGGCUUAUCUCCCCCAAGAGUCCACAUCGACGGGGAGGUUUGGCACCUCGAUGUCGGCUCAUCACAUCCUGGGGCUGUAGUAGGUCCCAAGGGUUGGGCUGUUCGCCCAUUAAAGUGGUACGCGAGCUGGGUUCAGAACGUCGUGAGACAGUUCGGUCCCUAUCCGUCGCAGGCGUAGGAAAUUUGAGAAGACCUGUCCUUAGUACGAGAGGACCGGGAUGGACGUACCUCUGGUGUACCAGUUGUCCUGCCAAGGGCAUGGCUGGGUAGCUAUGUACGGAAUGGAUAAGCGCUGAAAGCAUCUAAGCGCGAAGCCAACUUCAAGAUAAGAUUUCCCACCGCAAGGGUAAGACCCCAGAAAGACUAUCUGGUUGAUAGGUCGAAGGUGUAAGUGCAGCAAUGUAUUUAGCUUAUCGAUACUAAUAGGUCGAGGACUUGACC
rnacentral:rRNA from 1 species